GACGAACGCUGGCGGCGUGCCUAAUACAUGCAAGUAGAGCGCUGAAGGGAGAGCUUGCUCUUCUGGAUGAGUUGCGAACGGGUGAGUAACGCGUAGGUAACCUGCCUGGUAGCGGGGGAUAACUAUUGGAAACGAUAGCUAAUACCGCAUAACAGCAAAUGUUGCAUGACAUUUGCUUAAAAGGUGCAAUUGCAUCACUACCAGAUGGACCUGCGUUGUAUUAGCUAGUUGGUGGGGUAACGGCUCACCAAGGCGACGAUACAUAGCCGACCUGAGAGGGUGAUCGGCCACACUAGGACUGAGACACGGCCCAGACUCCUACGGGAGGCAGCAGUAGGGAAUCUUCGGCAAUGGACGGAAGUCUGACCGAGCAACGCCGCGUGAGUGAAGAAGGUUUUCGGAUCGUAAAGCUCUGUUGUAAGAGAAGAACGAGUGUGAGAGUGGAAAGUUCACACUGUGACGGUAUCUUACCAGAAAGGGACGGCUAACUACGUGCCAGCAGCCGCGGAA
rnacentral:rRNA from 1 species